UUUGUGGGAAGGAAAAUUCGUAACAAGGUCUCCGUAGGUGAACCUGCGGAGGGAUCAUUACACAAAUAUGAAGGCGGGCUGGAACCUCUCGGGGUUACAGCCUUGCUGAAUUAUUCACCCUUGUCUUUUGCGUACUUCUUGUUUCCUUGGUGGGUUCGCCCACCACUAGGACAAACAUAAACCUUUUGUAAUUGCAAUCAGCGUCAGUAACAAAUUAAUAAUUACAACUUUCAACAACGGAUCUCUUGGUUCUGGCAUCGAUGAAGAACGCAGCGAAAUGCGAUAAGUAGUGUGAAUUGCAGAAUUCAGUGAAUCAUCGAAUCUUUGAACGCACAUUGCGCCCUUUGGUAUUCCAAAGGGCAUGCCUGUUCGAGCGUCAUUUGUACCCUCAAGCUUUGCUUGGUGUUGGGCGUCUUGUCUCUAGCUUUGCUGGAGACUCGCCUUAAAGUAAUUGGCAGCCGGCCUACUGGUUUCGGAGCGCAGCACAAGUCGCACUCUCUAUCAGCAAAGGUCUAGCAUCCAUUAAGCCUUUUUUCAACUUUUGACCUCGGAUCAGGUAGGAACCCCCAAAGCA
rnacentral:rRNA from 1 species